rnacentral:rRNA from 1 species
GACGAACGCUGGCGGCGUGCUUAACACAUGCAAGUCGAGCGGUAAGGGCUCCUUCGGGAGUACACGAGCGGCGAACGGGUGAGUAACACGUGAGCAAUCUGCCCUUCACAUCGGGAUAACCUCGGGAAACCGAAGCUAAUACCGGAUACGACCAUCGGUGGCAUCAUCUGAUGGUGGAAAGUUCCGGCGGUGAAGGAUGAGCUCGCGGCCUAUCAGCUUGUUGGUGGGGAAUGGCCUACCAAGGCGACGACGGGUAGCCGGCCUGAGAGGGUGACCGGCCACACUGGGACUGAGACACGGCCCAGACUCCUACGGGAGGCAGCAGUGGGGAAUAUUGGACAAUGGGCGAAAGCCUGAUCCAGCAACGCCGCGUGAGGGAUGACGGCCU